rnacentral:rRNA from 1 species
AGCCUUAAGUCAAUAUUUUAGGUGAUCCCUGCCCACUGCUAUAAGUCAAGGGCCGCAGUACCUUGACUGUGCUAAGGUAGCGAAAUCAAUAGACUUUUAAAUGAAGCCCAGAAUGAAGGGGACCUCGGAAAUUAACUGUUUCAAGGUGGAUUAGAAAUUUAUUAGGAGGUGAAAAUUCCUCCAUUAUUAUAAAAGACGAGAAGACCCCGGGAUCUUUGAGCUAAGCUUUUUGUUGGGGCAACAGUAGACAAACCUCUAAAAAUUGAUAUCAAGCCAGUUAAGGCACGAGAAAGAUACCCCGGGGAUAACAGCAUAAUUAAAUUUUAGUUUAUGACCUCGAUGUUGGACUAGGGAUUUUAUGGUUAGCCGCCAAAGAAAGUAGUUCUGUUCGAACAAGAUCCCCU